AUUAGAUCGAAUACCUAAUAGUGAGGAGCAAAGAGAGUUGUCCAUGUUUCAUGCAUAAGAUCCUCUCUUAGAUUCUCAGUGUUGUGAGUAUUUGAAGAUAGAUAAUAAAUUUCCGGAUAAGGUGUAUCGAUGAUUCUGUCUUACAGAAAGUGAUUUUCCCAAUAGGAUUCAUGAUCUAACGCAGUUGGCUUUGACGAAAAUCCUGUCCCUAGGAUACAUUGUAUGCACUCUAAGCUCCCUCACUUAGUCUGCAUACCGAGCAAAGGAUGAGCACCAUCAAGCCUUAAAAGUAUAGUCAACAUGGAGCAAAUACGAAAGAGGCAACAAGACAUGCAGAGAUGGAAGCUCUUGAUAUUCUUCUUGAGCAGUGGCGGUGGGCUGGAUUUUCAUCUACAGAAGUUGCUCAGAAAUUUUCAACAUGUUCCCUUUAUGUGAGUAAUGGAAAUCUGAUCAAAUGCAACCUAAGUAUAGUUGAUUCAGUGGAACGGUGUUCAGCCAUAUAAUGGUUGCAAAGAAUGGGUGUGGAAUUUGCUUAGUAACAAAAGCUCCAAAGCCUCACGGGUCAUGGGUUACUCAGGCUUCUUAUUAGAUCUGCGUGCAUUGGUUCUUCCUAUUGAACCUCUCAUGGCUUUGCACAACUAGAAUUUCCUCAAGAAGCUCGAGAGGAGAAGGUUGAUUCUUGUCCAGAUCAGUUUUUGCUUGGUGGUCAUGUGUUCACUGAGAAUUGAAGCUUCAGUCACGUGUUAAUUUCAUACUUUAACUUAAU